GACGAACGCUGGCGGCGUGCUUAACACAUGCAAGUCGAACGAAGAGCGAUGGAAGCUUGCUUCUGUCAAUCUUAGUGGCGAACGGGUGAGUAACGCGUAAUCAACCUGCCCUUCAGAGGGGGACAACAGUUGGAAACGACUGCUAAUACCGCAUACGAUCUAAUCUCGGCAUCGAGGAUAGAUGAAAGGUGGCCUCUACAUGUAAGCUAUCACUGAAGGAGGGGAUUGCGUCUGAUUAGCUAGUUGGAGGGGUAACGGCCCACCAAGGCGAUGAUCAGUAGCCGGUCUGAGAGGAUGAACGGCCACAUUGGGACUGAGACACGGCCCAGACUCCUACGGGAGGCAGCAGUGGGGAAUCUUCCGCAAUGGACGAAAGUCUGACGGAGCAACGCCGCGUGAGUGAUGACGGCCUUCGGGUUGUAAAGCUCUGUUAAUCGGGACGAAAGGCCUUCUUGCGAAUAGUGAGAAGGAUUGACGGUACCGGAAUAGAAAGCCACGGCUAACUACGUG
rnacentral:rRNA from 1 species